rnacentral:rRNA from 1 species
AACGAACGCUGGCGGCAUGCCUAACACAUGCAAGUCGAACGAGACCUUCGGGUCUAGUGGCGCACGGGUGCGUAACGCGUGGGAACCUGCCCUUAGGUUCGGAAUAACUCCCCGAAAGGGGUGCUAAUACCGGAUAAUGUCUUCGGACCAAAGAUUUAUCGCCUUUGGAUGGGCCCGCGUUGGAUUAGCUAGUUGGUAGGGUAAAAGCCUACCAAGGCGACGAUCCAUAGCUGGUCUGAGAGGAUGAUCAGCCACACUGGGACUGAGACACGGCCCAGACUCCUCGGGGAGGCAGCAGUGGGGAAUAUUGGAAAAGGGGCGAAAGCCUGAUCCAGCAAUGCCGGGUGAGUGAUGAAGGCCUUAGGGUUGUAAAGCUCUUUUCCCCGGGAUGAUAAUGACAGUACCGGGAGAAUAAGCCGCGGCUAACCCCGU